AACCUAGAUGUAUCUUUACACAAACAUCCGCCUGGGUACUACGAGCACAGCUUAAAACCCAAAGGACUUGGCGGUGUCUCAGACCCACCUAGAGGAGCCUGUUCUAGAACCGAUAACCCCCGUUAAACCUCACCACUUCUUGUUUUUCCCGCCUAUAUACCGCCGUCGUCAGCUUACCCUGUGAAGGUCAAAUAGUAAGCAAAAUGGGCCCGCCCAAAAACGUCAGGUCGAGGUGUAGCGCACGAAGUGGGAAGAAAUGGGCUACAUUUUCUACAACAGAAUAUUUACGAAUGGCACCCUGAAAUAAAUGCCUGAAGGUGGAUUUAGUAGUAAAAAGCAAAUAGAGCGUCCUUUUGAAUUAGGCUCUGAGACGCGCACACACCGCCCGUCACUCUCCCCUCAUAUAUUAAAAUUAAACCCAACAUUCCUAAUCAAAUAUCCAUUAUUACGGGGAGGCAAGUCGUAACAUGGUAAGUGUACCGGAAGGUGCACUUGGAAUAAU
rnacentral:rRNA from 1 species